rnacentral:rRNA from 1 species
AAUCAACGCUGGCGGCGUGCCUCAGACAUGCAAGUCGUACGAUUAAAGCUCUCUUCGGAGAGUGUAUAGAGUGGCGCACGGGUGAGUAACACGUAAGUAAUCUACCUUCGAGUGGGGAAUAACAGUCGGAAACGACUGCUAAUACCGCAUAAUGCAGCGGCACCUAAUGGUGACAGUUGUUAAAGCAUUUAUGUGCUUGAAGAGGAGCUUGCGGCAGAUUAGCUAGUUGGUAAGGUAAUGGCUUACCAAGGCGACGAUCUGUAGCCGACCUGAGAGGGUGGUCGGUCACACUGACACUGAAUAACGGGUCAGACUCCUACGGGAGGCAGCAGUCGGGAAUUUUGGGCAAUGGGCGAAAGCCUGACCCAGCAACGCCGCGUGAAGGAUGAAGUAUUUCGGUAUGUAACUUACGUAAAAUGGAAGAAUAAAUGACGGUACCAUUUGUAAGGUCCGGCUAACUACGUGCCAGCCGCCGCCGUAA